rnacentral:lncRNA from 1 species
UGUUGCGAUUGGGAGCAGAAUACAAAGGUAAGUUUAAAAAUAUGUCGUAUUUUCAAAUACACUGAAGAUAAGGCAGUGGAUUCAGGGAAAUCAUUCAAGUAAUUUUUACUAGAUUUAUAGAACUAUUUUUGAUUUGGUGUAUUUUUAAGUUUCCAAGACAACCUCUUAUACCAAGUUAAUCUGACAAAGAUGGUGUUUCAUGAGCUGUUAGGAUGCUCAUAAAUUAUAUGACUUACCUUAAAAUUUAAUUUUUUUGAGACAGGGUCUCAUAACAGAAGCCACUCUCAGCCCUUAAACUUCCCAUGAAGCUGAUCAAAUGACCUUGGACUCCUGGUCCUCCUCCUUCACAUGUGGAGAUGCAGGCUUGCACCACCAUGCUUGAUUCUUUCAAAGCAAAACAUUCUUGCCAUCAUUACUUUUGUUAGUCUUCUUAAAAUCAUGUAUUAUUGGUAGUUGUCUUUUAACUACAUAGUAGACGAGUUAGUGUUGUCGGCCCCACCCCCAUCCCCGCUUGUACACAAACAAGUGAUUCUUAGGUGUGGCACUGUUGUAACACUUGCUGAUGAAGUCAAGGGUUGAAGAGUUUUAGAGAAGUGGGUUAGAGAUGCUGGUUGCCAUUUCCUUAGUUUUACAUUCCUCACUUUAACUUUUAUGUUCCUAAUGUUUACCUAAUUACUCAGAAGUACUAUAAAAUACAGCACCUACAAACAAAUGUGUGUAUGUGUGUCUACAUGCCUACUUUAGACACAGAUUAAGAUUCUAGCACUAUUAUAAUGGUCAGACUUUUAUAUAUGGUUACUUUUGUCAUUUCAAAAUUGUUUUACUCUGUACCUUUAUUGCUGGCUUUUUUUUUUAAGUUUUUUUUUUUUUUUUGUACCUGCAGCAAAUUGUAUUUAACUAUGAGGAACUUGAUUUAAAUAAUUUAGUAUGUAUUAUAUUAGUUACAAUUUAGUGUUGGAAAAAAUAGAAGUUACUUCUGUUUCAGAAUGUGCUCUUGUGAAAGAUGUCUAGACUGGUAAAAACACAAUUAGUGUUAAAAAUCAAGAAAACUACAAAGGACAUGAUUAAUGUAAAUGCUGAGUUUCUAACCUCAUCUUUUUAUGAGUGAUCACCAUCCCUUGAAAAUGGUUAGAGAUCAUUUUAUUUAGGACACUGAACAGGCUGUGGCUUAGAGCUGUCCGUAUUACAGUCUUAUGACUAAUGACUAAUGAUAUAUAAACAGGUGGUUGCUGAUCUGACAAAGCUAUUUUCACCCAGAAUCUUGGGACUUUAACUUUUGUUAUUAAAUGCCCCAUAAUGUCCAUAAAAAAUCCAGGUCAUAUUUGAACAGCAUGAGCACCACUGACUUCAGUGUCAGUCUGUUGAAGGUCUAGCAGACUGUAACAAAUGCAGACCAGCCUUGUUGUGGCUCCUUAAUCUUCACUGAUGACUCGUCCCGUCACUGGUACACAGCUUUGCAGUAUCAGCCCUGCCCUCUUCUGAAAGAUCCUCCUCACUCCCUGAUCUUCUAAGCGUCACUGUAAGAAAACCAGUCUUAAUAUUUUUAGGUGCUUCUGUUGAAGCACACGUACGGAUUAUACACCUCACAAUGAUUGAUGGCUAACUGGUAUAUUGUCCUAAUCAUCAAUAAAAACAGCAUUCAGAUUUUAUUAUCAGCAACAAAACACUGGGCUGGAUAAAGAAAACACUGGCUCAGAGUAAAAUUAACAGGAUUAUACAUAAAAUAUGAGAUUAAAGUUAAUUUUUUUCCUAAUUGAAUGAAAUAUUUGUCUUAAAUAGUAAGGAACCCCUGUCAUCAAAGUUGAAUUUAAUUUUUUAAUUACUGUUUUUAAUUACCACAAGUUAAUAUUAAGUGUAAAGUCUUUGAGUCUUGAAUUUGGGGACUAGGGUUGUAGUUCAUGUGUAUAUUGCUUACUGCUCAUGUACAAGAUCUCCAGUUCAACUCCAGCACCACAAAGAAAAGACCAAAAUGCUAAGUUUUCAUUUUUUUGUAUUUCUCUUUAAUUUAGAAAAACUUUAUAGGGAUUGAAUCAAUUAUUGUAAUUCUUCUUUCCCAUUUUGGAUUUCAUAGAAGCAAGGUUAAACAAAAUUAAAUGCUUUGGAGUCAGAAAAGCCCAGCUUCAAAUCUUUUUAACAGUUAAAUGAGCAACUUUAUCUUUGUUUUGAUUUUUUUUUUGUCUGUAAGUAGGUAUAAACACCCUUGCUUGUUAUAAGAUUUAAGUAAGACAGUUUAUGUAAGCUUUUCAGUUAGUGUAUCUAGCAGCUGCAUAGGAAUCUUUUACUUUUCUCUGAUAACUGACUGAGUGAUAUUUAUAUACUUUUUGUUU